CUGCUGUUCUGGUAAAAAUGGUGUUUGGAUAAAGGUGGUUUUCCCAGGGCAAGGCUUAUCCAUUGCACUCCAAAUGUGCUGACCCCUGUGAUUUCCCCAAAUGUGGGAAACUUGACUGCAUAAUUUUGUGGUAGUGGGCACUGCAUUUGCACAUUCCCC
rnacentral:snRNA from 1 species